rnacentral:rRNA from 1 species
GAUGAACGCUGGCGGCGUGCUUAACACAUGCAAGUCGAACGAAGCACUUGAAACGGAUUCUUCGGAUGAAGUUUCCUGUGACUGAGUGGCGGACGGGUGAGUAACGCGUGGGUAACCUGCCUCAUACAGGGGGAUAACAGUUAGAAAUGGCUGCUAAUACCGCAUAAGCGCACGGCAUCGCAUGAUGCAGUGUGAAAAACUCCGGUGGUAUGAGAUGGACCCGCGUUGGAUUAGCUAGGUGGCAGGGUAACGGCCUACCAAGGCGAGGAUCCGUAGCCGGCCUGAGAGGGUGGACGGGCACAUUGGGACUGAGGCACGGACCAGAAUCCUACGGGAGGCAGCAGUGGGGAAUAUUGCACAAUGGGAUAAAACCUGAUGCAGCGACGCCGCGUGGGCGAAGAAGUAUUUCGGUAUGUAAAGCUCUAUCAGCAGGGAAGAAAAUGACGGUACCUGACUAAGAAGCCCCGGCUAACUACGUGCCAGCCGCCGCAGUAA